GUCCACGCCCAAGCUGCUUGAGUUGUAGAUAGAGAGGCGUUGCCGCAGUGUGUCUGCGGCAGGACGAAGUAUUAUCCUCACAAAUCCAUCAGUCACAUCCAACCAGGAACCCCCCCCCCUCCCCAUUACCGCCACCCUAGCUACAUACUUCCAAAAGGGGGAGGGGGUGCAGUGGGAGGAGGGCCUCAGCUGCUGGCAUCCUUCAGGAGUCUUUAUUUCCAGCAUCAUCUGACCACUGACUGCAGAUUGACAGCAUGAGCAGCACUGUGAUUCAACCGCAGGCAGUCCAAAGCCCUGUGGCCCAGCAGAAACCAGGAAGAGGCCCCAUCGCCUGCCAGAACUGUGGAAAACCUUGUAAAGGGGAGGCCCUCCGAGUCCAGAAUAAACACUUCCACAUUAAGUGCUUCGUUUGUAAAGUGUGCGGAUGCCAGCUGGCCAAUGGCGGCUUCUUCCUGCGACAAGGAGAGUACAUGUGCACUCUGGACUACCAGCGCCUUUACGGGACUCGCUGCUUCAGUUGCCAGGACUUCAUUGAAGGAGAGGUGGUGUCUGCCCUGGGAAAGACUUAUCAUCCACACUGCUUUGUAUGCGCCUCUUGCAAGCAGCCGUUUCCGGCCGGUGACCGAGUGACCUUCAACGGCAAGGAGUGUAUUUGCCAAAACUGUACCCAACCUCUUCCUGUCAACAGUCCUGCGCCCAUACAAGCUGUCCACAACUGCUGCGGCUGUGGGAAGGAAUUCAAAAAUGAACAAUCCCUGGUAGCGCUGGACAAGCACUGGCACCUGGGCUGCUUCAAGUGCAAGGUGUGCAACAAGGUCCUCAACGCGGAAUACAUAAGCAAGGAUGGGAUACCCUACUGCGAAAUGGACUACCAUGCCAUGUUCGGCAUCCAGUGUGAGAGCUGCAAGAAGUACAUCACCGGGAAAGUCCUGGAGGCCGGAGAGAAGCAUUACCAUCCAUCGUGUGCCCGCUGUACUCGCUGUGAGCAGAUGUUUGCAGAAGGAGAAGAGAUGUACCUCCAAGGGUCUUCUAUUUGGCAUCCUCCAUGCAGACAAGCAGCCAAGCAGGAAGAGAAGAGUAAGGUGACCAGGACUUCAUCAGAGAGCAUCACGUCCGUCCCGGCAUCCAGCGCCUCAGGAUCGCCCAACCGAGUCAUUUAUGCUAAGCUAGGAGAGGAGUUGCUGGACUACAAAGACCUUGCGGCCCUGCCAAAAACCAAGGCCAUCUACAACAUAGACCGACCUGACAUGCUGUCAUACUCGCCCUACGUCAGCUACCCAGCCGAAGAAACCACGCACUACGGCGAGGGCAAUGGAGAGAGGUCCCCCUGUCAGAUGAGACCAUCCAGUCCAAGUUCUAACAGUUCUUUGGGGGGUUAUGGACGUUACACUCCGUCACGAUCCCCCCAGAAUAACAGCAGACCAGGAGCAGAGGUUUAUCUUGGCAGUAGACCCAGCAGCCAGGCCCCUGACCCCAGUACACUGGAGCCACCCCUGGGUGGUCCUGGUGGUGGUCCAAAGUACACAGCCACAGUGGGAGGUGGUAGCGUAGGGGUGUCUUUACACCUGAACCCCACCACUCUGUCCAUGCUGCAGCAGCACAACUUCAUCCCCUACUUCAGAGGAAGCGAAAGUGGUCGGAGUACCCCCAGCUUAUCCGCCUACUCUGACGGAAAAUCCCCUUCCUCCGGGUCGACGUAUGUGGCUGCCCCUCGCCAUUUCCACAUACCAGAGCCUGUGGUCAAAGAUAAUAUCUAUAGAAAACCCCCCAUCUACAAACAGCAUGCCUCUAGAACUUCCUGGCAGGAUGGCGAGGAUAGCAAGAGGACCAGUUGGAUGACGGAUGGACAGAUGAUUCCAGAAGAUCUCGACCCACGCAAGUCAACAUGUAGUUUGCCAAUGAAAACCUCAAAGCCAAGUUUCCCUCAUAAUAAAUUUGCGUCUUUGCCCGGUUAUGGAAGGAAUGGCAUCGACAAGGCUGCUGAGAUGGCGGAGGAUGACGCUGAUCCAGACUCCCAAAGCUGGGGAGGCAUGAGAGAAUACAAGGUAAGAUUUAAAUUUCUUAAAUUAUACUAAAUAUUAUUAUUAGUAAGCAUAUUUUUGGAGAAUAUUUCAAAUAAAAUAAAAUAUUAAAAUAUAUAUUUUUCCAUUUGCUGCAGGUGUACCCUUAUGAAAUGCUGGCAGUAACAAACAGAGUGAAAGUGAAACUUCCCAGAGACAUCGAUCGCACCCGACUUGAGCGCCACCUAUCGCCCGAAGACUUCCAGAGGGUGUUUGGAAUGAAUUUGGAACACUUUGACCGCCUGGCCCUGUGGAAGAGGAACGACUUGAAGAAGAGGGCACGCCUUUUUUAAUUAAAAAAAAAAAGAAUACGUUGUAAAUCUACGAUAACAAUGACUAAAUGCCUUGCCGUCAUGUUAUAGAACACCCGUCAUGUCCCUUAUGUCCGUGUGCUUGUGUGAUGCCAUACAAUGAAACACCUAAAAGCUUUACAGCGAUCUCUGACUCCUGAAUGAGCUACUGUUUGUUGUUUGUUUGCAUGACGACUCACCUACUUUGAACCGCUGACUGUUCUCAUGAUAAUUUAGCAGAAAAUCAUAACAAACAAAGCAUGUACAAUACAGGGAGCCUCAGUUUUUUUGCUAUACUUCAUAUACAAUUAUAUAUCAUCCUGUCCUGUCUUUCUUUUAAUCUAUGGGCAUAUUUCAGACAUAGAUGCAAAUGGUGAUUAACCAUAAUUAAUUAAUUUGAAAACUGUGAUUAAUCAGAUGACAAAUUUUAAUCAUUUGACAGCCUUUUUUUUUACAUUUUCAUGUAUUUAACAUUUGAUCUUUUUUUAUUAAUUAAUUAAAAAAAGAUGUAAAAUAUAUUACAAUAUUAUGACAAACUAAUCCAUUUUACAUUUUUAAAAGUAAAAUUGUUAUAAAAUAAAACUAAUCACUCUUUUAUGAGACCUAAAAGACAAUAAAUUACCAAUCAUGGAUUUUUAAUAUUAAUUUGACUAAAUGUCCUUGAUUCACCAAAUAGGGUAAAUUAGUGACCCAUUAGUCAAUAUUUUAAAUUACACUAGGUCCCCAACUUACGAACACAAUUGGUUCCAGACGACCGUUUGCAAGUCUAUUUGUUCGUAAGUCGAACAAAAGGUAAUAUUACCAAUGAUAUAGGUACUACAUGUACGUGUAUACAUAUACAGUAUAUGCGUAUGUAUGUAUGUAAUAUUAUGGAUGUAGUAGUAAUAUUAAACGAAGAUAAUUAAUGAAAAAAACAAUAAUAAAAAUGAUAUAAUAAUACGUAAUGAUAAAUGUUAUUUACCUUUGAAGAGGAGUGGUCGAGCAUACGUCGUUGUGCUGGAAAAGGAGGAGGAGUUAUUGAAAAAGGACAAAUGGUGGUGGUGGUUAGACUCUUCUAAAAGAGGUAGUGUUCUGUGGGUGGUGUAGAAUUAAGCAGGCCUAUUAAUUCUUCAUAAACUUUAAUCACGGGCUCUGUCCGGGUUGCAUCAUACAGCUACAAUUUAGCUUUCUCUCCCCAGCAUCUUACUCGACCUGUUGGUCCCAUUAGCAGUGUCACAGUGCCCUCUACUGGUCAAGCAUGUAGCAGUAUAAAUACUGAUGGAGCGACUAUACAAGGCAAAAUAAAAUAUAGACCAGUCAGCUUUUGUUCGUAUCUGCGAAUGUUCGCAAGUUGGAUGUUCGUAAGUUGGGGACCCAGUGUGUGUGUAUGUAUAUAUAUAUAUAUAUAUAUAUAUAUAUAUAUAUAUAUAUAUAUAUAUAUAUAUAUGUAUAUAUAUAUAUAUAUAUAUAUGUAUAUAUAUAUAUGCAUUCGUUAUUUAAAACUAAUAAAAUUAAUUAAAUGACUACAACAAAAAUAAAACUAAAUUACUACUCUUUGGCAGUGAUUUUUAAUGUUAUUAAUGUGACUAAAUUUCCAUAUAGGGAAAAUUAGUGAUCAACCAAUACAUUUUUUUCAUUAUUUUUAUAGUUUGUAUUUAUUACGGACAUUGCAAUUUGACAAAAUAAAACUCAAAUCAAAUCAAACUACUGAAUUUUGAUACCGGAUGUACUGGACGUCAUGGAAUUUUUACAAUCAUUUCUUUACAUUUCUUUGGUUGACCACAUGGAGAUAUUGUUUUAGUAUUUGUUUUUUUUAAAUAACAAAAAAAAAAUUAUUUAAGUCACCAAAAACAACCAACAAAAACGACUAAAAGUUGACAUUAUUGCAAAGAUUUUGGGGUCUACUUCCAAACUGUACCACUUCAUGGUGUGUUCCAUAUAUGCUGCUGUACUGUCAUGAGAACUUUCUUAUUUAUGUUCAUUUUAACCCUUGUAUCCUGCACUGAGUGACUGUCAAAGUUGCAUACACCGAUGAUGAUUAUUAUUAAGCCAUAUCUUUAGCUUUUUACUGCUAAAACAAUACAAUAACUUUAUUUUUAUAAGCUACUUCCACUGUACGUACUGUAUAUGUAUAUAGUAUAUAUUAGGGGUGUCAUGAGACACCCAGCUCACGAGAUGAGACGAUACACGUGAUUGGGUCCAUGAGACAAAACAAGAUUUUAACGUUCAUUUUAAAAAAAAGUACAACUGAUGGGAAAAACUGACUUUUUAAUUUAAGUCAAAAAACAAUGCAGGUGCAUUUUGAAAUGUUUAUUGUCCCCCAAAUUAUUACUUCAACGAUAUAUGUUAUAAUAUAUCAUGUUACGAUACCUGCAUUACUGUGUGUAUGCUUGAGGCCCCGCCUCCUCCCCUCACAGAGACGGGCUCACUUAAUUCAAGCCUUUGUUUCAUAGAGUAAACGCGCCCAGGGGCCGAAAAGAAGCACAAAGCGAACCUUCUUCCUGCCUGUUUGGAGGUGAGAGAAGAGGAAAACAGGCAUGCAUGCACAGGGCACUAUAUCGAGGUCGACAAAAUGAUCCAAUUCAUUUUCAUUUGUUGUUAUUCAUGUACUUAUUAUCGCAAGACUGUUUUUUCUGAACGACAAAUUUGUCAUGUUUUAAUAUUGCGAGAUCUUGUGACACCCCUAAUAUCUAUGUGUAUGUAUAAUAUACUGUAUAUACAGGAUGUACUGUAUAUAUAUAGUCAUGAAAAAAAGGAUUAGACCACCCUGGUUUCUUCAGUUUCUUGUUCAUUUUAAUGCCUGAUACAACUAAAAGGUACAUUUGUUUGGACAAAUAUCACAAUGACAACAAAAAAUCUAUUUUUUGGCAGUACAAUGCAAUAGAUAUUCAUGUAAGAACUUAAGUAAUUGUGGUUAUUAUCAAUAAAAGCAUGGAUGUUGCUAGACAUCAGCUCUUAAAUUCAACUCUUAUGAGCUGUAUUUGUUAUCGUCAUUAUAUUUGUCCAAACAAAAGUACCUUUACUUGUACCUGGCGUUACAAUGGACCAAUAAACCUAAGAAACAAGCGUGCUCUAAUCAUUUUUUUCCAUGACUGUAUGUAUAUUAUUCUAUUUGUGUUUAUUUAUUCUGCUUUGUUUGUGGCUUGAAAGCAUCACUGCAUACAAUACUGCAACAUGUAUGUGAACUACACAUACUGUAUAUACAUACGCAGUACAGUAUACAUAGCAUAUAUUUGUGUAUGCGAGCCAUUCUGCAUGAUAGGUGACAAUAUCUAAGUUUGAACGUAAAUACUGUGUGAUUAUUUUGGCUUUGAAUGACAGGAAAUGAAGGAUUUGAUUGUGACAUACAGUAAAGGAAUAUGCUUCUUUUUUUUAAGGAAAACAAAUUACAGUACAUUUAUAUUCCACCUUGUAAAGUCCAAAACUAAAUGUUGUCAUCGUUUCCUGUUUAAUAUUCCUCUGCCAUUAAAGUGCUUUAUCCUAACCAUCCUCAUUGUUUGGACUAUC